rnacentral:rRNA from 1 species
GACAGAGGGUGCAAACGUUGCUCGGAAUCACUGGGCGUAAAGGGCGUGUAGGCGGAUAGAUAAGUCGGGCGUGAAAUCCCCAGGCUCAACCUGGGAACUGCACUCGAAACUGUUUAUCUUGAGUAUCGGAGAGGAAAGCGGAAUACCUGGUGUAGAGGUGAAAUUCGUAGAUAUCAGGUGGAACACCAGUGGCGAAGGCGGCUUUCUGGACGAUUACUGACGCUGAGACGCGAAAGCGUGGGGAGCAAACAGGAUUAGAUACCCUGGUAGUCCACGCCGUAAACGAUGAGUGCUAGGUGCUGUGGGUAUUGACCCCCGCGGUGCCGAAGCUAACGCAUUAAGCACUCCGCCUGGGAAGUACGGUCGCAAGACUAAA